rnacentral:rRNA from 1 species
GACGAACGCUGGCGGCGCGCCUAACACAUGCAAGUCGAACGAGCGAGAGAGAGCUUGCUUUCUCGAGCGAGUGGCGAACGGGUGAGUAACGCGUGAGGAACCUGCCUCAAAGAGGGGGACAACAGUUGGAAACGACUGCUAAUACCGCAUAAGCCCACAGGUCGGCAUCGACCAGAGGGAAAAGGAGCAAUCCGCUUUGAGAUGGCCUCGCGUCCGAUUAGCUGUUGGUGAGGUAACGGCCCACCAAGGCGACGAUCGGUAGCCGGACUGAGAGGUUGAACGGCCACAUUGGGACUGAGACACGGCCCAG